UACGAAGGGGGCUAGCGUUGCUCGGAAUCACUGGGCGUAAAGCGCACGUAGGCGGACUCUUAAGUCGGUGGUGAAAUCCUGGAGCUCAACUCCAGAACUGCCUUCGAUACUGAGAGUCUCGAGUCCGAGAGAGGUGAGUGGAACUGCGAGUGUAGAGGUGAAAUUCGUAGAUAUUCGCAAGAACACCAGUGGCGAAGGCGGACUCACUGGCUCGGUACUGACGCUGAGACGGACGAAAGCGUGGGGAGCAAACAGGG
rnacentral:rRNA from 1 species